rnacentral:rRNA from 1 species
UACAGAGGGUGCAAGCGUUGUUCGGAAUUAUUGGGCGUAAAGGGUGCGUAGGCGGCGCGGUAAGUCGGGUGUGAAAUCUUGGAGCUUAACUCCGAAACUGCAUUCGAUACUGCCGUGCUUGAGGACUGGAGAGGAGACUGGAAUUUACGGUGUAGCGGUGAAAUGCGUAGAUAUCGUAAGGAAGACCAGUGGCGAAGGCGGGUCUCUGGACAGUUCCUGACGCUGAGGCACGAAGGCCAGGGGAGCAAACGGG